rnacentral:rRNA from 1 species
UCCCAAGGGUUCGGCUGUUCGCCGAUUAAAGCGGCACGCGAGCUGGGUUCAGAACGUCGUGAGACAGUUUGGUCUCUAUCCUCUGCGCUCGUUGGAAUCCUGAGGAGGCCUGCCCAUAGUACGAGAGGACCUGGGUGGACGGACCUCUGGUAUGCCGGUUGUCGCGCCAGCGGCAUGGCCGGUUGGCUACGUUCGGGAGGGAUAACCGCUGAAAGCAUCUAAGCGGGAAGCCUGCUCCAAGAUUAGGAUUCCUUGGCACUUCGGUGCCUGUAGCCCGCAUGCGGAACACGUGUUCGAUAGGCCGGAGGUGGAAGCCCCGCGAGGGGUGGAGCCGACCGGUACUAACGGGCGAACGCGGCACACUU